UACGUAGGGGGCUAGCGUUGUCCGGAAUCAUUGGGCGUAAAGCGCGUGUAGGCGGCCCGGUAAGUCCGCUGUGAAAGUCGGGGGCUCAACCCUCGAAAGCCGGUGGAUACUGUCAGGCUAGAGUACGGAAGAGGCGAGUGGAAUUCCCGGUGUAGCGGUGAAAUGCGCAGAUAUCGGGAGGAACACCAAUGGCGAAGGCAGCUCGCUGGGACGGUACUGACGCUGAGGCACGAAAGCGUGGGGAGCGAACAGG
rnacentral:rRNA from 1 species